UACGUAGGGUGCAAGCGUUGUCCGGAAUUAUUGGGCGUAAAGGGCUCGUAGGCGGUUUGUCGCGUCGGGAGUGAAAACCCAGGGCUUAACUCUGGGCUUGCUUUCGAUACGGGCAGACUAGAGGUAUGCAGGGGAGAACGGAAUUCCUGGUGUAGCGGUGAAAUGCGCAGAUAUCAGGAGGAACACCGGUGGCGAAGGCGGUUCUCUGGGCAUUACCUGACGCUGAGGAGCGAAAGUGUGGGGAGCGAACAGG
rnacentral:rRNA from 1 species